rnacentral:rRNA from 1 species
CCUACGGGUGGCAGCAGUGGGGAAUAUUGCACAAUGGGCGCAAGCCUGAUGCAGCCAUGCCGCGUGUGUGAAGAAGGCCUUCGGGUUGUAAAGCACUUUCAGCGGGGAGGAAGGCGGUGAGGUUAAUAACCUCAUCGAUUGACGUUACCCGCAGAAGAAGCACCGGCUAACUCCGUGCCAGCAGCCGCGGUAAUACGGAGGGUGCAAGCGUUAAUCGGAAUUACUGGGCGUAAAGCGCACGCAGGCGGUCUGUCAAGUCGGAUGUGAAAUCCCCGGGCUCAACCUGGGAACUGCAUUCGAAACUGGCAGGCUAGAGUCUUGUAGAGGGGGGUAGAAUUCCAGGUGUAGCGGUGAAAUGCGUAGAGAUCUGGAGGAAUACCGGUGGCGAAGGCGGCCCCCUGGACAAAGACUGACGCUCAGGUGCGAAAGCGUGGGGAGCAAGCAGGAUUAGAUACCCUGGUAGUC